rnacentral:misc_RNA from 1 species
AAAGUCGUAACAAGGUUUCCGUAGGUGAUAUCCUCCCGGUUUGCCUACCGAAGCCCCCGGCGGCGCGACUCGAAAGAACGCUGCUUCAGUUGGCCUCAUCUCGUGGGGCCGGCGACGCUAUCAAUCUGCGCUGGAAGCGUUCUACGGAGCGCAACCAGCAGCUCCACCGGAGUCCACAGAUCAAACGAUGGCGGCCAUUCGUAAUGGUUUAGAUAUGAUCGGCCCCAGCCGCCACCGGCUGGCGAAUCCCGCGGAACCUGCGGAAGGAUCAUUACUGAGAGAGGGCCUCGCGCCCCCGGGGGGUUUGGCCCCAGCCCCAUCUUCAUCCCUAGUGCCUGACUGUGAACCGUUUAGCCUUUGGCUUUUGGCCUUGGGGCCUGGGGCCGGCGCUUGGCAGGCCUGCCCCAUGACCUACCCCCGGGGUCACAGCCCCCGGGGGUUCGGCCCCGCAUGGCCCGGCAGGCCGGUCGCAAUAACCCCCGGCCAAGAUGGCUGGGACCCAUAAGCUCCCCGUCAGAGGCCCAUCAAAACCCUUUGAAUUAGCGUCGUCCGAGUACAAAACAAUAGUAAAAA